CUAUACAAUGCGGUGGGCUAACUGCAACGACUGAAAAGAAGCUCCUUACCUCAGAAGGGUAUCCUAUCAAAUAUGAACCUUCACAAACAUGCUCGUGGAGUCUUCAGGCAUCUGACUCUUCCAAGAAUGUAAUUCUAGAAACAGUGGACAUGAUGAUAUAACCCUCAACUGGUUGUGUUGAUGAUUCAGUCAGCAUAUAUGACGGUGACUCAAACUCUGCCACUAAGCUACACACGUUAUGUCGAGACACUCGUGUGUUUGUGACCUCAUCUGGACGGAACAUGUACCUUGAAUUUCGUUCCAACAGUAUUCUGGAGACAAGAGGCUUCCAGUUUCGAUACUACCAGG